UACAGAGAGGGCAAGCGUUGUUCGGAAUUACUGGGCGUAAAGGGCGCGUAGGCGGCCUGCUAAGUCGAACGUGAAAUCCCCGAGCUCAACUCGGGAACUGCGUCCGAUACUGACAGGCUUGAAUCCGGGAGAGGGAUGUGGAAUUCCAGGUGUAGCGGUGAAAUGCGUAGAUAUCUGGAGGAACACCGGUGGCGAAGGCGGCAUCCUGGACCGGUAUUGACGCUGAGGCGCGAAAGCCAGGGGAGCAAACGGG
rnacentral:rRNA from 1 species